rnacentral:rRNA from 1 species
AACGAACGCUGGCGGCAGGCUUAACACAUGCAAGUCGAGCGCCCCGCAAGGGGAGCGGCAGACGGGUGAGUAACGCGUGGGAAUCUACCCAUCUCUACGGAAUAACGCAUGGAAACGUGUGCUAAUACCGUAUACGUCCUUCGGGAGAAAGAUUUAUCGGAGAUGGAUGAGCCCGCGUUGGAUUAGCUAGUUGGUGGGGUAAAGGCCUACCAAGGCGACGAUCCAUAGCUGGUCUGAGAGGAUGAUCAGCCACACUGGGACUGAGACACGGCCCAGACUGCUACGAGAGGCAGCAGUGGCGAGUAUUGGACAAUGAGCGCAAGCCUGCUCCAGCCAUGCCGCGUAAGUGAUGAAGGCCCUAGAGUAGUAAAGCCCUUUCACCGGUGAAGAUAAUGACGGUAACCGGAGAAGAAGCCCCGGCUAACUUCGUGCCAGCCGCCGCCGUAAUAC